GUUCUAAGAGGAUUGAAGCAGCCUCAGGGCAUUGAGCACAGACUGAAUUACUCAGUGACGCUUAGAUCAGGUCAGAUCAAAUUCUCAAGCAAACAGUUGGCUGGGGAUAUUCAGUAGCAACGGUGAGGAGAGAGAGGAACAAUUCACAUUUCAAGGGACCCUUCCUCAAAACGGUCUGUUCUGAAGGAGCUUUCCCGCAGAAAUCAUUGGAUUGAAAGCUUCUGGCAACAAAUGGCCACAAACCGAUCAAAGGUGAAAGUGACGGUGAACCAGACAGAGCAGUCAGUGGCUGCAUAAAGCAGGACGGCGUGGAUAUUACACACGGGGACGGAGUCCCUCAGGAAAUAAAACUGUUCCCGAUAAACAAUGGGAAUGUGUCUCAGGAUCAGGUCGAGGAUAAUGACCAGGAGAUCCGCCGCUGCCAUGGCCCCCAGGGACAUAUAAACAUAUCUUCAAAUCGUCCGAGACCAUUUUCUGCUCAGGGUAUGGCUCUGUGUAUGACAGCAGCAAUGAUGCACCAACAUGGAACAGGGAAUGUGAUGGAGACAUAGUUUGGACAAUGUACAAGGAGACCU